CUCUUGAAAGUGAGAUGGACAGGCAUCAAAAUAUCUCAUUGGAGAUGCUUCUGAAGCUGGUCAGAGUAUUUGGGUCAGUAAUAUAUUCUUCUAUAUCAGCACCUUCAUCCGUAGGAGUGGAUAUUGAGGCAGAGCAAAGGUUGGAACGCUGCAAUACAUGCUUUGUUGAGCUUGAAAAGGUUAAGCGUUGCUUGCCUGUACUUUGUAG